rnacentral:rRNA from 1 species
GAUGAACGCUGGCGGCGUGCCUAAUACAUGCAAGUCGAGCGAAUGGAUUAAGAGCUUGCUCUUAUGAAGUUAGCGGCGGACGGGUGAGUAACACGUGGGUAACCUGCCCAUAAGACUGGGAUAACUCCGGGAAACCGGGGCUAAUACCGGAUAACAUUUUGAACCGCAUGGUUCGAAAUUGAAAGGCGGCUUCGGCUGUCACUUAUGGAUGGACCCGCGUCGCAUUAGCUAGUUGGUGAGGUAACGGCUCACCAAGGCAACGAUGCGUAGCCGACCUGAGCGGGUGGUCGGCCACCCUGGGACUGAGACACGGCCCAGACUCCUACGGGAGGCAGCAGUAGGGAAUCUUCCGCAAUGGACGAAAGUCUGACGGAGCAACGCCGCGUGAGUGAUGAAGGCUUUCGGGUCGUAAAACUCUGUUGUUAGGGAAGAACAAGUGCUAGUUGAAUAAGCUGGCACCUUGACGGUACCUAACCAGAAAGCCACGGCUAACUACGUGCCAGCCGCCGCAGUAA